GUCUUGAAGGGUAGAAUUUUUUAGCUCUUGAUGUAAGCAGUGAAUCAGGUUACAAAAAUAAAAUCACAUCUGCUACUCCAAAUGCAUACGUAAACAAUUAUCAUUUUCAUUUGCAUAUUCUAGUAUGGGUUGGGAAAUGGGCUUUCCAAAUAGAAUCAUUAUUUUUCAUAUUCACAUCUGAAUUAACAAGUCUAGAUUGAUGAACUAGAGACGAGUAUGCAUGAUACAUCAAAUACCUUUCAAAAUUUUAAAUAAAAGGAACCACUCAAAUUGAA
rnacentral:misc_RNA from 1 species